rnacentral:rRNA from 1 species
UGUGCCAGCCGCCGCGGUAAUACGUAGGGUGCAAGCGUUGUCCGGAAUUAUUGGGCGUAAAGAGCUCGUAGGCGGUUUGUCGCGUCUGCUGUGAAAUCCCGAGGCUCAACCUCGGGCUUGCAGUGGGUACGGGCAGACUAGAGUGCGGUAGGGGAGAUUGGAAUUCCUGGUGUAGCGGUGGAAUGCGCAGAUAUCAGGAGGACACCGAUGGCGAAGGCAGAUCUCUGGGCCGUAACUGACGCUGAGGAGCGAAAGCAUGGGGAGCGAACAGGAUU